UCUCCGUUGGUGAACCAGCGGAGGGAUCAUUACAGGACUCGCAAGACUCCUACAACCCUGUGAACUUAACUAUAAGCACGUUGCUUCGGCGGGUGUCUCGGAGGGGGUUCUCCCUCCCCGAGACGCUAAACCCGCCGGCAGCCUACUAUACUCUGUCUCUUUGCGUUGGCAUCUCGAGUACAAUCAAACAAGUUAAAGCUUUCAACAACGGAUCUCUUGGUUCUG
rnacentral:misc_RNA from 1 species